AUUAUUUAUGAGAUAACUGUCACAUGACUGGGAAUGGUAACUUCCAGUUCAAUCUGAGACUCCUGAACAAGCAAGGAUAUUGCCUGGCAGGGAGUCAGGAUGGAGAAUGCAGGAUGGAGGAAAAUGUAAUGACACAGUAACAAGCAGAAGAUAAUGUUAGAUGAUUUGGAGGUCCUACCUGGUGGUACAGUUGAUGCAUUUACCAAAAAGAGCAACAGCAGCUCAAAACUUCCAGGAGCUGUUUCAUUGGCACCUCAGGAGAGGUUGAGAGUCCAAACCAAAUCUGCUAUCUAAUGCUUGACAUUUUUUUCUUCAAACAAACAAACAACAACACCACAAACAAAAAAGUGACCAAAACAAAAUGCCUCCAAACAACUCUAGAGAUCUCUCCAAAUAGGAUUCUGUGAUUAGCAGAACUGUAGAACGACCCAAAUUGGAAGUAACCCACAAGGAUUAUCGUGUCCAACUCUGGGUUCCACAAAGGAAUCAGACCCAAACCCAGUGUCUGAGAAUGUUGUCCAAAUACUCCUUGAAUUCCAGCUGCUUGAGGCCAUUCCUGCUGUUCCAUGCCCACAGCCCUCUGGAGCAGAUCCUUUCCCUUGCUCCCUCUUGCUUUCCUGUCACCUCUCUGCUCCCUAUGAGGAGCUGUAGUCUCCAUGAGACUUCCUCUCAGCCUCCUCUGCUCUGGGCUGAACAAAUGAGGGGUCCUCAGCCACUCCUCGUAUAUCUUCCCCUCUAGGCCCUUCACCAUCUUUGCAGCUCUUUUCUCGGUACAUAACAGAAAAAUAUAUGCUAGAGAAACUGAGAAAACAUACUGAGAAGAGCCAACUACUGGUCAGUAUCCAAUCUCAUGAUCCUGUAGAGUUACUUUCAGAUUACAAUGACAUUAAAAGGCAGAGGAAGCCCAACUGGAUGCACUUGCUGUGGCUUGUUUAAGAAUUGUUAGGUUUGUGGUGUUCCUAUUUCUAAUUGUUUCUGCCAGAGGUUUGAGGCUCUAGAACUCGAGGAAUGGAUAAAUGAGGGUACAGAGGAAUGUCCACCCAGGAUGUUGUCAAAGGCGAGGACGUCAACUCCAUGCCUCAAGACUUUCUCCACCAGAAAGUAAAGAAGGGCAAUUGCCAUGGAUGACUCCAUUCUAAGAGGAAAAGAGGGCCUCAUCUGUCAGCCAGACCCUAGCUGCAGGGAAGUAUGCUGUCUCCCCAAGGCCUAGGUAAGGGACAUUUCUAGGAGAUUCCCUAGUCUGGCUUGCCCCUCUGAUUGUUAUCCCUCAUGAGUGAAGCCUGAGGGCUAUCAAAAGGGAUCACAGGAGACUUGAAAGCCAGUGGAUGGAGAGAGGAUACAGGUGAUAUUUUUCUCUAUCCUUUCUGUGGCUCUGAUGGAUACUGAGAGGACCAGGAAAACCCAUCUGAUAAAUAAGAGGCUAAGACGCUGGUACCACUGCAGGAAUUUUGACUUUUUUGAUCAUUAGAUGGUUUGCUUGACACCUGGCUUGAUGGCUACCAGUGGGGUAAACCUGGGUCUUCAGGGAAAAGAAUUUUGCCCCCAGAAGUCCAUUGAUGAUAACUUCCUAGUUCAAGUAUUGGACAGACCGACAAGAGGUGAAGAAGUGCUGGACCUAUUGCUCACCAACAUAGAGGAGAAUUUUAAAGAUAUUAAGAUUGGAGGUAGCCCAGGCUGCAGUGACCAUGCCCUGGUCAAAUCUGUGAUCUCGAGGAACUCAGGCUUGGCAAAGAAUGGAAUCAAGACCCUGAACUUCAGGAGAGCGAACUUCAGGCUGUAUAAAGAGUUGUUGGAUGAAAUCACCUGGAAAACUCUACAUGGGGACAAAGAAACAUAACAUAGCUGGUGGCACCCUAAGAAUGCCUUCCUGAGAGCACAAGAGCUCUCCAUCCUCCAGCAUAAGAAAUCAGGAUGAUGAGGCAGGAAACCACCUGGACAUGCUUGAAAAGUGGGCACACAAAUAUCUAAUGUGGUUUAACAAGACCAAGUGCCAAGUGUUGCACUUGGGUUGGGGCAAUCCCAGAUACAAGUACAGUCAGGGUGAAGAACUCAUUGUGAGGAAUUCUGCAGAAACGGACUUGGGGCUCCCAAAGAACAAAAUGGUAGACAUGAGCCAGC